rnacentral:rRNA from 1 species
AGUGAACGCUGGCGGUAGGCCUAACACAUGCAAGUCGAACGGCAGCACAGUAAGAGCCUGCUCUUAUGGGUGGCGAGUGGCGGACGGGUGAGGAAUACAUCGGAAUCUACUUUUUCGUGGGGGAUAACGUAGGGAAACUUACGCUAAUAACGCAUACGACCUACGGGUGAAAGCAGGGGACCUUCGGGCCUUGCGCGAUUGAAUGAGCCGAUGUCGGAUUAGCUAGUUGGCGGGGUAAAGGCCCACCAAGGAGACGAUCCGUAGCUGGUCUGAGAGGAUGAUCAGCCACACUGGAACUGAGACACGGUCCAGACUCCUACGGGAGGCAGCAGUGGGGAAUAUUGGACAAUGGGCGCAAGCCUGAUCCAGCCAUACCGCGUGGGUGAAGAAGGCCUUCGGGUUGUAAAGCCCUUUUGUUGGGAAAGAAAUCCAGCCGGCUAAUACCUGGUUGGGAUGACGGUACCCAAAGAAUAAGCACCGGCUAACUUCGUGCCAGCAGCCGCGGUAACAC